AUUGAACGCUGGCGGCAGGCCUAACACAUGCAAGUCGAACGGUAGCACAGAGAGCUUGCUCUCGGGUGACGAGUGGCGGACGGGUGAGUAAUGUCUGGGAAACUGCCUGAUGGAGGGGGAUAACUACUGGAAACGGUAGCUAAUACCGCAUAACGUCGCAAGACCAAAGAGGGGGACCUUCGGGCCUCUUGCCAUCAGAUGUGCCCAGAUGGGAUUAGCUAGUAGGUGGGGUAAUGGCUCACCUAGGCGACGAUCCCUAGCUGGUCUGAGAGGAUGACCAGCCACACUGGAACUGAGACACGGUCCAGACUCCUACGGGAGGCAGCAGUGGGGAAUAUUGCACAAUGGGCGCAAGCCUGAUGCAGCCAUGCCGCGUGUAUGAAGAAGGCCUUCGGGUUGUAAAGUACUUUCAGCGGGGAGGAAGGUGUUGUGGUUAAUAACCACAGCAAUUGACGUUACCCGCAGAAGAAGCACCGGCUAACUCCGUGCCAGCAGCCGCGGUAAUACGGAGGGUGCAAGCGUUAAUCGGAAUUACUGGGCGUAAAGCGCACGCAGGCGGUCUGUCAAGUCGGAUGUGAAAUCCCCGGGCUCAACCUGGGAACUGCAUUCGAAACUGGCAGGCUAGAGUCUUGUAGAGGGGGGUAGAAUUCCAGGUGUAGCGGUGAAAUGCGUAGAGAUCUGGAGGAAUACCGGUGGCGAAGGCGGCCCCCUGGACAAAGACUGACGCUCAGGUGCGAAAGCGUGGGGAGCAAACAGGAUUAGAUACCCUGGUAGUCCACGCCGUAAACGAUGUCGACUUGGAGGUUGUGCCCUUGAGGCGUGGCUUCCGGAGCUAACGCGUUAAGUCGACCGCCUGGGGAGUACGGCCGCAAGGUUAAAACUCAAAUGAAUUGACGGGGGCCCGCACAAGCGGUGGAGCAUGUGGUUUAAUUCGAUGCAACGCGAAGAACCUUACCUACUCUUGACAUCCAGAGAACUUUCCAGAGAUGGAUUGGUGCCUUCGGGAACUCUGAGACAGGUGCUGCAUGGCUGUCGUCAGCUCGUGUUGUGAAAUGUUGGGUUAAGUCCCGCAACGAGCGCAACCCUUAUCCUUUGUUGCCAGCGGUCCGGCCGGGAACUCAAAGGAGACUGCCAGUGAUAAACUGGAGGAAGGUGGGGAUGACGUCAAGUCAUCAUGGCCCUUACGAGUAGGGCUACACACGUGCUACAAUGGCGCAUACAAAGAGAAGCGACCUCGCGAGAGCAAGCGGACCUCAUAAAGUGCGUCGUAGUCCGGAUUGGAGUCUGCAACUCGACUCCAUGAAGUCGGAAUCGCUAGUAAUCGUAGAUCAGAAUGCUACGGUGAAUACGUUCCCGGGCCUUGUACACACCGCCCGUCACACCAUGGGAGUGGGUUGCAAAAGAAGUAGGUAGCUUAACCUUCGGGAGGGCGCUUACCACUUUGUGAUUCAUGACGGGGG
rnacentral:rRNA from 1 species